GAAUCGGACACACCAUUUUUGUUUCCGGACGUUUAUGGUGCUAUCGAUAGGUAAUUUCAAGGUGAUCAUUUCGUAGAAGAAGAUUUUUUUUUAAACGACCUCUCCGGCUCGGGGCGACUCUAAGAAAAUUUGAAAAUUUCAAAAUCAUGACUUUUUCAGAAAAUUUUACACCGAAAUGAAACGACCCGGUCGGUUUUGAUCUAAUGGUAGUUUGUAGAGAAUUGACAGACGAUUCUAAUAAAAGUAUCGUCGGGUCGAAAGGUUGUAGUUGUGAGUCAGGGUGAGGCAUCAAAGUCCAAUUUUAUGAAACAAAAUGAAGAGU